AAGUCGUAACAAGGUCUCCGUAGGUGAACCUGCGGAAGGAUCAUUACCCUUUUCUGCCUAUUUAAUAGCUUGUCUGGGGGCUGCAGUUUCUGCGUCUCUGACUACAUCCGUGUUUUUUUGCGUACUACAUUGUUUCCUCGGCGGGCUUGCUUGCCGGUUGGACAAACUAAAACUUCUUUGCAAUUGCAAUCAGCGUCUGAAUUAUAUAAUUAAUUACAA
rnacentral:misc_RNA from 1 species